rnacentral:rRNA from 1 species
AAACCGAGGACGACGGCGGGAGCCCCGAGAAGAGUUUUCUUUUCUUUUUAACAACUACACCGUCCCUGGAAUCGAAUUGAUCGGAGAUAGGGUUGGAGUGUUGGUAAAGGCAGCUAACUUUUGGCUGUUUCGGUGCGCUCUCUACGUCCCUUGAAAACUCGGUGGCGUGACUUAUUUGCAAACCUGGUCGUACUCAUA